CAAACCUUUCUGCCUCCAAAUAGCACAAUCAUUACAGCCUGACAGAUGGGGCCUUUGCUUUCAUUUCAGGCGCUCCCCUCGCCUUCAGGAAACCAGAGAUGAGCUACCCAACGCUUGCCACAAACUUUCCUAUUAACAGAUUAGUUUUGACAGAGCACCAAACCUGGUCCUGCACUGUCUCCGUGACGCCAGCAACCCCAGACAAAACAGAACUGCUUCUAGGGGCACGUGACACUGUUUCCAGGAAUCAGCAGAGGAAUGACAAUGGUGAAGGCAGGAUGGCCAGAAUGAAAUCAACACUUAUGUGGAAGUGUACUGCUUCUACUUAUAAAAAAGCAAGUUAACUGCAAAAUCGCCUCAGGCAGGUCCUUCAAGAAGCAUUCCAGAAGAAGGCAUUGUUAUCAUAGGAGAUGACAGCUCCAUGCAUGUUAUUGACCCUGAAGACCUUCUGGUGGACAAGAUGUGGAGGUGCAAGACAGUGAUACUGAUGAUCUUGACCCUGAUCUUGACCCUGAUGAUCUUGACACUAGGCCUGGGCUAGCGUGUGUGUUUGUGCCUUAGUUUUUAACAAAAAAGUUUAAAGAGCAGAAAAAUAAAAAUUCAAAAA